GUGGGGAAUAUUGGGCAAUGGGCGAAAGCCUGACCCAGCAACGCCGCGUGAAGGAAGAAGGUUUUCGGAUCGUAAACUUCUAUCCUAGGUGAAGAUAAUGACGGUAGCCUAGAAGGAAGCCCCGGCUAACUACGUGCCAGCAGCCGCGGUAAUACGUAGGGGGCAAGCGUUGUCCGGAAUGAUUGGGCGUAAAGGGCGCGUAGGCGGCCAUGUAAGUCCGAUGUGAAAGUCCUGCUUUUAAGGUGGGAAUUGCAUUGGAAACUGUGUGGCUUGAGUGCAGGAGAGGUAAGUGGAAUUCCCGGUGUAGCGGUGAAAUGCGUAGAGAUCGGGAGGAACACCAGUGGCGAAGGCGACUUACUGGACUGUAACUGACGCUGAGGCGCGAAAGUGUGGGGAGCAAACAGGAUUAGAAACCCCAGUAGUCC
rnacentral:rRNA from 1 species